GAAAUGCGAUAAGUAAUGUGAAUUGCAGAAUUCAGUGAAUCAUCGAAUCUUUGAACGCAUCUUGCGCUCCUUGGUAUUCCUUGGAGCAUGCCUGUUUGAGUAUCAUGAAAUCUUCAAAGUAAAUCUUUUGUUAACUCAAUUGGUUUCUACUUUGGUAUUGGAGGUCUUUGCAGCUUCACACCUGCUCCUCUUUGUUCAUUAGCUGGAUCUCAGUGUUAUGCUUGGUUCCACUCGGCGUGAUAAGUUAUCUAUCGCUGAGGACACUGUAAAAGGUGGCCAAGGUAAAUGCAGAUGAACCGCUUCUAAUAGUCCAUUGACUUGGACAAUACUUUUAUGAUCUGAUCUCAAAUCAGGUAGGAAUACCCGCUGAACUUAAGC
rnacentral:misc_RNA from 1 species